rnacentral:rRNA from 1 species
UACGAAGGGAGCGAGCGUUUGUUCGGGAAUCACUGGGCUUAAAGCGCACGUAGGCGGCUUUGUAAGUUAGAGGUGAAAGCCCGGGGGCUCAACCCCGGAACUGCCUUUAAGACUGCAUCGCUUGAACGUCGGAGAGGUGAGUGGAAUUCCGAGUGUAGAGGUGAAAUUCGUAGAUAUUCGGAAGAACACCAGUGGCGAAGGCGGCUCACUGGACGACUGUUGACGCUGAGGUGCGAAAGCGUGGGGAGCAAACAGG